rnacentral:tRNA from 1 species
GAGCCGGUGGUGUAAGGCGAACAUCGCUGCCCGGAAAGCAGAAGAUGUGGGUUCGAGUCCCGCCUGGCGCA